rfam:Lonsdalea quercina strain ATCC 29281 genome assembly, contig: Ga0052894_scaffold00014.14
AGCUGCUCAUUCAACUGGUUAUGACAGCGAAGCAGAAUCAUCGCUUUUGCCCAUAACACCCGGAAUGAUGCCAUAAGAAAUGGUGCCUAUCGUCCAACAUCAACGAUAACUGUGCGUGCAAACGAACUUUAUCAUCCCUCGGACGACACGUUGAGUGAGGCACCCCCUC